CCCUCGGUCGUCUAGUUGGUUUAUGGCGUGUAAGUGCCUUAAAAGAUUCCCUCAGUCAUUACUUAGUACUGACAUAUGAUAUUCUAGCCGGCUGUAAUUGUUCAGUCUUACCGGAAUGUCGCGCGUUCGACUCGCGCCUGAGGGA